rnacentral:misc_RNA from 1 species
AACUUACUUACCCUUAAUUAAACAGGCCAUAUUACUCCGUUUGCCAAAUUACCUCUUCAUUCUCCAUCACCCUCUAUAGAUUUUCUGAAUCUGCCUGUAGAUUUUCUGAUCACUUUUUUAACAUUCUUAAUGCUCAUUGUUAACACAAUCAAUGAUGUCACAAUCCCUCUUCAAUGAAUAAUGUAACAGAAAGAAACUACACAAGCUUAAUGUAAGAGAAACCUGAGCAAUAGUCUUUCCCCAAGCCUCUGCAAUUUCACUUAGCACUACAGUGUCCAUUCCAAAAUUAGUGCCCCAUCGACCCCCUUUUGCUCCCAGGGGAGAAUA